rnacentral:tRNA from 1 species
CCAUUGAUGGUUCAGUGGUAGAUUUCUUGCCUUCCAUGUGGGAGAACUGGGUUCAAUUCCCAGCCAGUGCA